CUCAUCUCGGACUGCAACAGCCGUACAGUUUUUACAGCUUCCUUCUGUUUGGAUGUUCUCCUCAUGCCACAGCCUUCUCGAUCUUCUAUAACACCAUAGGUUUAAACAUUUUUAUGUCUCCGAAACGCAGCUAUCCCGACGACUCCCGGCCCUUCUGCAUCAUUUCCUUGUACCUUAAAUGCCCCUAUGGUCAUUCACCACAGCCUCGAGGCCGGGCCUUCUGCGACUAUCCUUACGCAUUCACUCAAUCAAUCCUUUAGGACCACUCAAAACCAAACGGCAGUGGUCGCCAUAACUCGGGUGCCUGCUCACGUGUCAUACUCGAUCGUGAUACGCAUUAUUGAAUAGGUGAGCGUGCUGGACAGGGGCGACGAACGAUCUUCAAUUGCUGAGACCGGGUUCAAUACUGCAUGCUGUGCCAAUGGCGCUGUAUACGCGGUACUGUAUAAUACCACUGCCUACACAUCCUGAACCUGAACUCUAUGAGCUUUUGACCAGCAACUCUGAAGGGACUGAAAAAGGAACCUGGCCGACAUCAGACGAAUCUAUCCCCCCAUCUGAUCCUUUUUACCUGCACCUGGAGACAUCCCUGCUUAUUAUACUAUACUCAGGUCUGUAUUUCCGACCUCAAUAAAAGCAGCAAAAUCCAGCAACGUAAUAAGAAAGUUUCCAACAACUAUGAUUCAGCAACUCUGAAAUAUAUUCGAGCAGAUUACAUUUUACUAAAUAGCUACUGUACAAUUAUCCUAAUGUUUCCAUUGUAAACAAAUCUUCGCCUAUUAAACCCGAAACGACGUGAUUAUCGUCAAUAUAAUCGCCUUAUAUAAAAUCGCGGCCACGCAUGCAAGCUCUGAAAACGAACCCAACAAUUACCGCCGCGAUAUCAGAUCAUAGCGAGAAUAUGCGCAAAUAAGAAACUGCGGAACGUAUCAGUGAAAAAGCCGCCAAGUCCUAUCCUUCCAUUUCACUCUGAUUUACCAGCAUGAAGAGCAUGAGUGGGAUCCCGACAUCCAUCUCACUGAAAGGUGUAAGCACACAUUAUCCAAUUACAGAACUUGAGUCGUCACGUCGCUUGAUGAACUCUGGGAACAGAUACAAUAGGUAUGGGAUGAGAUCGACCUGAGUAGACAGCAGGGAUCUGAUAGAUGAGGUGGAGCAGAGGGGCGUAGCAGUAUGGAAAGGGAAAUACAAGUCUACCAAGUGCUAGAUUAUUGUAAAUUAUACAUAGAAUCUGCCUAUUAUGUACUUGGUUUGCCCAAAAACAUGCACUGUAAAAUGAUACAUGCAAUCAUGUU
rnacentral:sRNA from 1 species